AUUGAACGCUGGCGGCAGGCCUAACACAUGCAAGUCGAACGAGUGGCGGACGGGUGCGUAAUGUCUGGGAAACUGCCUGAUGGAGGGGGAUAACUACUGGAAACGGUAGCUAAUCCCGCAUACCAUCAGAUGUGCCCCGAUGGGAUUAGAUAGUUGGUGGGGUAACGGCUCACCAAGGCGACGAUUCCUACCUGGUCUGAGAUGAUGACCAGCCACACUGGAACUUAGACACGGUCCAGACUCCUACGGUAGGCAGCAGUGGGGAAUAUGGCACAAUGGGCGCAAGCCUGAUGCAGCCAUGCCGCGUGGAUGAAGAAGGCCUUCGGGUUGUAAAGUACUUUCAGCGGGGAGGCGUUACCCGCAGAAGAAGCACCGGCUAACUCCGUGCCAGCAGCCGCGGUAAUAC
rnacentral:rRNA from 1 species